CAAUGCUGCUCUUCUGAGAGCAACCGCUCUGACAGCUCUCUCUAGUCUCUACUGGGAAACAGCUAAAAGUCCUUCUGGAGGCUUUGCAUUUGAACUCCUAUGACUGGUUGCGGACAUGAAGGGAACGACUUCCUGGCCUUCCUGACAUCCAGAAAAAAGGUGAGAUUCUAAUACAUUUGAAUGCCAAAAGCAAGUUAUUGUUUUUAACUUUUUAAAUAUGAUUGUUUUGGGGCAUUUCAGUUUUAUUGGACAGAGGCAGUAGAUAUCUACUGGAAACAGUGGAGAGGGAGGAGAUGAUAUGCAGCAAAAGGCCCAGCCGGAUAGUUGCUGCUCCGUGUGGAACGUGUUCUAUCAGGUGUAACAUCUACCAAUGGUUGUACAGGACACCACCUCUUUGCUGUCCUACUAGUCAACCCUCCUGAUCAGGUCAUUUCCUAAAUAGUGAAAGGAUCAUGCCAGCCCACAUCAAACACCUGAUCAAGAACUUGUGAACCUCACUGCUGCGGACACCUGUGUGAUAUUCGACUCUGACUGGAACCCUCAAAAUGACCUGCAGGCUCAAGCUCGGCGUCAUCGUUUUGGCCAGUCUAAGGCGGUGAAGGUGUACCGUCUGAUCACUAGAAACUAUGAGAGUGAAAUGCUGGAUAAAGCUAGUCUGAAGCUCGGGCUGGACCGUGCCGUCCUGCAGAGCAUGAGUGGGAACAAAGAAGGCAACAACAACGGGCUGGUCCAGCAGUUCUCCAAGAAGGAGAUCGAGGACCUGCUGAGGAAAGGAGCCUACGCCGCCAUCAUGGACGAGAACGACGAAGGCAAUCGCUUCUGCUAGGAGGACAUCGACCAGAUCCUGCAGCGAAGAGCCACCAUCAUCAUCAUCACCAGUUUGCUUCAAGCAGUGGAUGUACGAGAAAGACGUGGAAGACCAAGAAAUGCUGGCCAGAUUGGCAAAGACCGGAAGAUACAUAACAGAGA